rnacentral:rRNA from 1 species
UACGUAGGGGCCUAGCGUUGUCCGGAUUUAUUGGGCGUAAAGAGCUCGUAGGCGGUUCGGCAAGUCGGAUGUGAAAUCUCCACGCUUAACGUGGAGGGGCCAUUCGAAACUGCCGUGACUCGAGUCCGGUAGGGGAGUGUGGAAUUCCUAGUGUAGCGGUGAAAUGCGCAGAUAUCAGGAGGAACACCGAUGGCGAAGGCAGCUCGCUGGGACGGUACUGACGCUGAGACGCGAAAGCGUGGGGAGCAAACAGG